AAAAAGAAAAAGAGAAAGAGAAACAUCUUUAUUAAUAGCUCUGUAAGGACCUAGCUAUUUAGGUCCCGUUUGGCCUAGCUUUUGAAAAAGUGAUUUCUGAAAAAGUGAUUUUGAUUUGGAAAAGUGAUUUUGGUUAAAAGCUGUAGAGUGUUUGGCUGAGUUUAGAUAAAAGUGAUUUUUCUGAAGUGAUUUUGAAAAACUGUUUGGUAAAAUUUUUUUGAUGCUUGCAUAAAUCAAUAUUUUUAUUAAAUUUUAUUUCAAAAUAAUUUAAAAUCUAAAUUUAAAUUUCACUUAAAAUUAAAAUUCUUAAAUUUCAAAAUUAUACAAAAUUUAAAAUUUGAUAUUUUAAUUUAAAACAUAAUUUAAAAUUUAAA
rnacentral:lncRNA from 1 species